AAUCCAGUCGUGUUUUGAGAGACUUGUAUCGUUUAUUCUGACUUCAAUAUUCUAUAUUUGUGUCACACUCGACGAUCAAUCGACUAUUUAUUUCUACUUUGCGACUAUAAUAAGUCUCGUGAUAGUGAAUUUGAUUACAUUCUUCACUCGGCGUUGUGUUUGGUGUCGGUUACUAAAUUAAUCGGAUAUAUGUCGUCCCCAUGUUGCUUCUCAUCAUUAAGAAAGAUCCAUCAGGCUCGUUUACAGCACUCGUUGUGCCUGGCAGUCCGAUAAGCUGUACACUGUUAUGGUUUGAUAUUCAAUUGACUGACUCCUAUGAUGGAUCCACUUUCGAUGUAUGUGAAUAAUCAUAUAUGAUUUAGAAUAGCUUGCUGAAGUCUGAUAUAAUGAGAAGCUGGGGACUGUCUCUUUUUUAUGUUGAAAAUUAAUAGUUUGAAUUUUUAAAUUCUGUUUGCAAAUUCUGAUAGAUAAUUUAAUUCUACAAUGAUUAUUUAAGUAA